ACCUUGUUUUAAGAUCUCAUUUUGUCCAAAAUUGCGUCCUAUGACAGAUAUAAUACUUAUUUCAUUAUUGCUCUGUGUAUGUGUGACCUUAAUCAUUUGAGGUUGUGUGUUGAUUUCACCUCUGAAUAUUUCCUCUUAUAGGUCCAUCAUCCUUGCAUGCGCUACACACUCAAAAGCAUUGAUAAAUGCUGAAUUUAAAAGAAUCACUACUGUCUUAUGUUCCUGCGUGUCACCUGGACCUCCAAUCCAAAAACCUGACGAAACUCUUCUAUCAGAAAGGAGGACAGCUAGCAAAAAGACUUGGAACAAUCAAUGAUCAAAUGACAGAAGGCAUGAAUGAAGUCAGCAUCAGUGUGGUCAUUUGAAGACACCACUGUUGGGAUUUGUGCUCUCAAACAACAUGCUUCUUGUGAUGAAGAAGAGGAUCUUUGUAUAGUCCUGGAAGGCAUGAAGGUGUUGCAACAUCGUGCCAUGUUGUUUGAGCUGAUGUAUGCCUUUAACCUGAGCUAUCCUGAUCUCUGCUUUAUUUUUGAGGAAAUCCAAAAGAUUUUAAUGGAACUGCAUUGAGCGUAACUUUAACGAACAGUUUCUUUCAGUGAAAGGAUCAGAAAGACUGUGCUGCUUAUUUAUGUUCUUUUUAUUUAUCUGUUUUAAGUGUUUUUUCUUAUUAAAACAUUAACAGUUUGCUGCUCAGAGUUGAUUUUGGAAAUGGUUGUUGUAUUUUGUUUUUGUUGAAUCUUUGAUUAUCAGUUUAUACAAAUGCUGUAGCUCUGACUUUCUGAAGGAUUGAUAUAUUCCAGUUUGUAAAUCCAUUUAAAAAAUAAUAG